UACGGAGGGUGCGAGCGUUGUCCGGAAUCACUGGGCGUAAAGGGCGCGUAGGCGGCUUCUCAAGCGUGUGGUGAAAGUCCGGGGCUCAACCCCGGAUCGGCCGUGCGGACUGGGGAGCUCGAGUUCUGUAGAGGCGGGUGGAAUUCCGGGUGUAGCGGUGGAAUGCGUAGAGAUCCGGAAGAACACCGGUGGCGAAGGCGGCCUGCUGGGCAGUGGCUGACGCUGAGGCGCGACAGCGUGGGGAGCAAACAGG
rnacentral:rRNA from 1 species